AUUGAACGCUGGCGGCAUGCCUUACACAUGCAAGUCGAACGGCAGCACGGGAGCAAUCCUGGUGGCGAGUGGCGAACGGGUGAGUAAUAUAUCGGAACGUGCCCAGUCGUGGGGGAUAACGUAGCGAAAGCUACGCUAAUACCGCAUACGAUCUAUGGAUGAAAGCGGGGGAUCGCAAGACCUCGCGCGAUUGGAGCGGCCGAUAUCAGAUUAGGUAGUUGGUGAGGUAAAGGCUCACCAAGCCGACGAUCUGUAGCUGGUCUGAGAGGACGACCAGCCACACUGGGACUGAGACACGGCCCAGACUCCUACGGGAGGCAGCAGUGGGGGAAUUUUUGGGACAAUGGGCGCAAGCCUGAUCCAGCAAUGCCGCGUGCAGGAUGAAGGCCUUC
rnacentral:rRNA from 1 species